rnacentral:rRNA from 1 species
CAGCAGUCGCCGCGGUAAUACGAAGGGUGCAAGCGUUACUCGGAAUUACUGGGCGUAAAGCGUGCGUAGGUGGUGGUUUAAGUCCGUUGUGAAAGCCCUGGGCUCAACCUGGGAAUUGCAGUGGAUACUGGAUCACUAGAGUGUGGUAGAGGAUAGUGGAAUCUCCGGUGUAGCAGUGAAAUGCGUAGAGAUCGGAAGGAACAUCUGUGGCGAAGGCGGCCAUCUGGAACAACACUGACGCUGAGGCACGAAAGCGUGGGGAGCAAACAGGAUUAGAUACCCGCGUAGUCCCUGUCUCUUAUAC